UGUAUUUAUUAGAUUAAAAACCAAUGCCCUUCGGGGCUUUUUGGUGAUUCAUGAUAACUUUACGGAUCGCAUAGCCUUGCGCUGGCGACGGUUCAUUCAAAUUUCUGCCCUAUCAACUUUCGAUGGUAAGGUAUUGGCUUACCAUGGUUUCAACGGGUAACGGGGAAUUAGGGUUCGAUUCCGGAGAGGGAGCCUGAGAAAUGGCUACCACAUCCAAGGAAGGCAGCAGGCGCGCAAAUUACCCAAUCCCGACACGGGGAGGUAGUGACAAUAAAUACUGAUACAGGGCUCUUUUGGGUCUUGUAAUUGGAAUGAGUACAAUUUAAACCUCUUAACGAGGAACAAUUGGAGGGCAAGUCUGGUGCCAGCAGCCGCGGUAAUUCCAGCUCCAAUAGCGUAUAUUAAAGUUGUUGCAGUUAAAAAGCUCGUAGUUGAAACUUGGGCCUGGCUGGCGGGUCCGCCUCACCGCGUGCACUCGUCCGGCCGGGCCUUCCUUCUGAAGAACCUCAUGCCCCUCACUGGGCGUGCUGGGAAACCAGG
rnacentral:rRNA from 1 species